GAAGCAAAGCUAGUGAUGUCUCUGCAACCAAAACAAAUGCAAUAUGAACUAAUAUUUGAUGGAACAGUAUGAGAUUUUCUUCACUGCAAAAAUAUGGUUUUAAUAACAUGACUACUAUCAUGCUCUAUUGAAUUACACUUUAGCCGAUCAUGUUUUAUGCAAAAUUGCUAUGAUGGUAGUAUGGUACAAUAAAACCAUGCAGUAUCUGAAAAAAAAAAUUUGGCAGCUGCUUUUAACACAAUGUUCAUUAAGUGCAAUCUUAUAAUUGGGUUGCUGAGAGGGGAAGAAAAGAAUGAAGUCAACUCAGCAAGAUACUAAUUUCCAACUUAUAGUCUUUAGAUUACACUGUCCUUGGCUCAGGAAAGGCUUGAGAAGCCUUAAGGAUUGGCCAUUA
rnacentral:misc_RNA from 1 species